UUGCCGCUCUCUUACUCUUGUUGCGAUAGCGAGUCAAGUAAAACGUGUUGUAGCUCUGGAGAAGCACAGUGGCUCGCCGACGACCGCCGGCAGUCCUUUGUGUUGGUACUUUCGGUUCGGGUGGCGGUGCCUAGCGUGCGACCGUUGGCGUGAGACGCAAUACGUUUGAGGCCUAAGUCCAGAUUUAGGAAUUAUUUUUAGAUAUCUUAUUACGCGAAGCAGAGUCGCAAGGGAAAACUGGCACUAGGCCUUUUUCUUUAGUUUGUACUACGAUUCGCACUCGGCCCUCAAUUUGUCCGAGAACAGUGGCUUAUCUUCAGCAGGCCGGUACAGUGUGCGCUUCAAAAAUGCCACAUACGCAACUCGCCAACAUCGCCUUCGUAUUCCUAGUCUUGGCAGCCAUGCACAGAGCGUCUGCUUUGGGUAUCUGCAAGCCCAAUCCACAGUCGCGCGACUUGGGCGACCGCGCAAGCUGCCCGUUCACGAUGACCGUGGACGUGGACCCCACCCGGAUCCCUGCUGUGAUGCCCGUUACCAAGUGCAACUGCCCGGACAGUCGCUGUAGCGACGUGGGCGACUACCGCUGUCAAGAGGUGAGAAGCACGUUCCGGCUGGCGUACCGCGUCCACGGCAACUCGUUGGAACUGACCCACAAGACGGUGGAACUGGCAACGUCAUGCGUCUGCAUCGUCGGCAGGUCGGCCGGAGCGGUGUGGGGAGUCGAGCGAAGCACAGGUGGUGAUCCCAAUAAGCCGGCGAAGUUCAAGUAGCGUCUGAUGUCUCUCGUGAUUUGGCGCCGAGCCGCGGGCGUUUGCGCGAUUGUCGCUUUUGUGUGCACGCUAACGAGUUCAUGUUGUGCAUGCCUCCGUGUUUCGUGCGUGGAUCGUCACAGCCUUCGUGGCAACCUCUGAACAAUUAAACGUGUCCUUGUUCCGAUGCUGCAUUGCCGUGUGUAACAAAGUGUUCGACGAGUCGAAGGCUAAAAGUAGUUCGUCAAUUUUUUUAUGUCGUGUGAAAAAUUAUGUCUUUGCCACCAUCCCAUUAUUUUAUUUUAUUUCUUUUCUGUAGCUUUCUAGUUCGUUUCCUUUUUUUUUUGUAUGGAGGAGACGGGCAGUUUGACCAAAAAGAAUAGCUGUUGAUUUCUUGUUAUAGGGGGCAACAGGAGUGGCUUAGCGUCCUUAUUCGUUCGUUAAUGUAAUUACUUUCUUAGUAUUUGACUCAUACGCUCGAAACUAGUGCCCUCACCGCAUUGAAGUAUUUCAUGCAGUGCAGUGCUCUACAAUGCCCAGCGAUUGAAUCUCUGUAAUCGGACCACGUGACGACCUGUGCUUCUUUCUCCCCAGGAGAGCGCCCAAGUGAUAUCUUGGGAUGCGAAUGCCGCCACAGUGCGUCAUAAAAGGCAUUCGCCUUCAAUGUAUACCACGAUCAGCUUCGUCUCCCCCAGCGCUCUCAAGAAUAAAUAAUAGGCGCCGGCUGCCACACAUUUCAAGUUAGGUGUUUUCUAUGAUUUCGACAUAACGCGUUGCAUGUCUUGUUCCGACGCUUUCACAUAGUCCUUAAUAUUCGCUAAGUGACAAGACAUUUUUUUUACGUAGAGAAAAGGGUUACCGGUUCGAUUUUCGCCCCGACGGCCGUAUUUCCAGUCAAGCGCAACGAGACAUACGUUCCUUUGCCAAGCUUUUAUUGCUCCGUUAGCAGGCCCCGGAAGGUGAAGUGUUUAUUUAGCAAUCAUUCACCCAUGGGUUCAUUUAUGUAUCUUGCGUAGCGACUUAAAUAGCUGCUCUAAAUAGAAAUGUAUAAAAUAUUACGACCCUUAUAAACACGACGAUUGAUAAUAAUUGAACUUCAGGUAAACUAAUUGGUAGCCUUGUUCAUAACAAUGUUCUAGAAGCGAAGUUUGCUACGGGUCCGGUCACUGCCCCGACAAUCACUAUUAUUUGUCGCAGCAGUCGUGGCCAAGCCAACAACGCCUUAAUUCGCUGGCCUUGUAUAUGCAGGCUAACGCUAAGUGCCCUCCUUGGCGGUGGCUCCUGGCGAUUUGGCAUAUCCCGGAGCCCUCCUGUGCCUGCAGGAGUGCCUCGCCUGGUAACCUCAGCUGGCCUGGUAACCAACGCUGGUCACGGACGCUGAUACAGAUGCUGCGUAGCCAGUCGGCCUCAUUCGUAGCCGAGUGUGAGACCGGGGUAGUUGGUAUUGCAUACCGAAGUGACUAGAAGAGUGGACACUGUACACAAAGGCGAAAAAGACGAGCGCUUGUCCUUGUCGCUUUUUUAGUAUCCAGUGUUCACUCUGGCGCUAGUCACUUGCCCAUUCGUGGAGUGGUUUAAAAAAGUGCUGUGCCCCCUGAUUUGCAGCAGCAGCAGUUGCGGCCAAGAGAACAUCUGAUUAAGACACAGUCCGCUUAUCUGCAGGUGGUUCCUGACUUUAUUUCAAUUUUGCCUCGUUUUUCUUUGUGUUUCUUAUUUUUUUAUCUUUUUUUUUUGCCUCGUCGCGACUGCUGCUGCUUAGCUACUAGCAAUGCUGGUCAAUAUCGGCGUGCAUUGAAGGUUUCCUUGUGACGUCGAAAUUCCCAGCAAAGUCAAGUGUCCCAACAGUAUGUUUAACGCUAGUUUCCGCAUCUCCUUUAUUAUUGCUAUAUAUUGGCUUCAGCGAAAGCUGAGAGACCCACGUUUUCCAGGACAGAUCUUGCUCUGCAAAACGAUUUAGUUUUUGUGCAAGUAAUACAUGCGAUGCAUGGGAUACGCGACGUUGCUCCCUUUCAGCCAACGAAAUCGUCACAAACCAAAAAUUAGGCACUAGCAAAAUGACGGCGAAACGAACACUAUACUUAAAGAUCAGCAAUGCCCGAUAGAGAGAAUUAACGGUUUCCAAGGAAAAUGAGAUUGUGCUGCCAUUGCCAAGCACAGUGUAGAAGUAAAUGUCUGCUUUGUUUCUCACUGGGGACUCAUCGACUGUACUCGCCACACAUUCAGAAUUUCCAUCGAAAAGCCCAUAAUGUCGCGCUUUCUUUCCUAAUCAGACGAAAACACAAACAAUAUUGUUCGAAAAACGCUCAGGGCGGUAAUUCGAAAGUCUCAAACUGGAUAUUUUAGGCAUACGCGUGAGCCAAGGGUCUCCUAAAACCCAAAGGCGCAAUGAAACCUGAAGUCCCCUCACGGGAUGCGUCGCGAUCACGGACCGUACCGGAGUAGCAAAAAGGCAGCAGCAACCAUCCGGCACCGGUUCUCACUCGUCGCCGGGACAGAGCGAGAGCGCGCGCGUUGGCACCCGAAAUAUGGGGAACUAUGCCAAGGUCAUGCAGAUACCACUGCGGAUGAGGCGAUAGCAUGUGAAAUACUCAUUUACAGUAUACUAUAAACUGCCGUAUUAAAACGCCCUUGCCUAAAGAAGAAGAGAAGCGAAAAGGCGGUCCUCUAUUUAUUGAGAAAUAUCAAACUAAAGCUCGAAACACGUGUAGCAUGGUUAUGCCGUAUUGCCACUCAGGCAAACCAGCGCAUCGAAGCAUAACUGUGUCUCUCGUCUUCCGUUCUCCUAUAUGUACCUUCUCGGCAUUCGUGAUUCUCCUUUCACCUGUCGAUCUCAGGUAUUCCUCAUCUAAUAAAGAUUGCGCUGUCUCCCACUUUAUUUGUACGAGCGUGCGACACAAUCACGACAGUUUCUGCAACUUCACAAAGUCUCUUUCAUGUUCCGCAAAAUCCGGGCCUCAAGGAUAUGUACAUUUCCAUGUUGUAGCUGUGGAGUGUAAAUCUUAUGUAUCGUGCAUUGAUGACAUGCAUGGCGAGUAUAAUUUUACUUCUCAUCAUUCCAUCUGGAUAACCAUCAACUAUGCUUUUUCAAUUUUAUUAGAGAUUUUCCCCCACCUCCCCUGUAAUAUUUAAGUGUGUGCAACUUAAUCAUCGCAUUUUAGAAAGACAAAUUCAUACUUUAUGCAGCGGUGACGAGCUGAACUGAACCUAUUCGAAUUUAAGAGCUAGAGGUAGUGAUAAAAGAAUUUAGCUCACUUCUUAUAAAAGCAGUUUCUCGCAAAAGACUAGUCAGCAUAAAAAGAUGAGAUGUAUUUCAUGUCUCUGUCCACAUGUCGUAACAUCACUGGAUUCAGAUUUCUUGAUUUAGAGUUUCUUUUUCUACAAGACUUAAAGAAAUGCAAUGAUCUGGACAGGAACAACAAGCUUCUCGUUUAUUCACAGUCGCAUCAGCUGUGGCCUAGAUAUCUUGCGGUAACGAAUAUCACUGUCAUAUAUUCUCUGCUCAAGACAUGCAAGAUCACGCUCUAUAUAUUACUAGAAGUUUUGGUUCGAAAUGUAACAUGAAUACUAUGUCACAGGAAAUAAAAUUUUGUCGGUGAAUAAUAGGUUUCCUCUUACCAUAGCUAUCAUGAUAUCCACGCUAGCAAUGAGCUCUCAUAGAAGCUUGUCGACCUUGAUGUUUAGAAAAACCGCUCGGUAAAGCUGGAAAGAAUAAUUUCCUGCUGCCCUCAUCUCAUGCUAUCUAGGGUAAAAUUACAUCUUUCUUUCCCACUGUUAGUUUGCGGAACAGUCUUCCAUAUCGGAUGAAGACGUCUCUUUCUUGAACGGCUAGAUUCUUAAAGCAUGGAGUGGUUGUCUACCAUUGUUAUGUUGUUUACCACGAUGUUCAUUGUGUUCGUUUAUUUAAUAAUUUCUGUAUUUAUGCAAUUUUUUUCGUAUAUUCUAUAGCGCAAUUUAUUGCACAUACCACUACAUUGUUUUAUUUGUUCGUAUAAUACAGCGUAUGGACGGUACUGGAGCAUUCUGUGCCCGCUGAGAUCUUCUCAUGCACACAUGUAUAUCUGUAACCUAUCUGAUCUUAAGUAAAUAAAGAUUGCACUUUAUUUCAUGAGUGGCGGGCAUCCCAACAUUUCCCAAUGAAGAAACCAUGCCACACAAGAGGAUAUUUGCAAGCGCGGGCUUUGAUUUACAAGCAAGCUCGCAAUACAUUAACUCGAUAUAUUAGUUCAAGAAUAUAUUUAUAUAUAGGAGUGAUAACUAACUACACUAUGUUCGUUAGCUCUGGGCGCAAUGAUUCAAAGCAAGCACGGCAUUCAGCAUAGCGUACGUGCGUGUCGCGGGAAUUGUUUAUGCAGUAGGUACAGCGGACAUGAUUACGAGAUGAAAACGAAACUGAUUCCCCGGUAGCUGUGGUAGAAGACGACGACGAACGUGCCAGCUUGAGUGCGAGCCAUUGCUGAUGAUGGUAUAUUUUGCUCACACAGAUUUGUUGACGCACACAAAGAAAUGCAUGAAACCAUAGCCAUAGACAGCUUCGCUGUAAAAUGAAGAAGCAAUCGACAGCCAUUUGUUCGCUACGGGCAGUUGUUUCUUUUAUUUUAUUCACAAAACCUUGUUUAGCUAUUCAUAGAAUAAACAGCAAUUUAUUUUACCCCACGGGCGAGGUGAAGAUAAUUUUAAUAAAUAAUUGCGUGAUUCAUGACGAAAACUGUGAGGUCAACCUCAGUUAGGCAUAUUAGAAACCAAAUUCGUCCCAAAUCUCUUAUGUUUAAGAAGAAAGAUAAUACCAAAUUUUACGCGUGCCCUUCCAAGGACAGAUGCGCCUAUAGACGAUAACAUCCGGCCCCUUCUUUUAUGUAAUGACGGGAAACGGUUAGUGCGUACAUAGACUGGACAUGAAGGUAUAUAUAAAUAUGCGAAGGUACAAUAAGGUGUUUUCCAAAUGUUAUUGAUUAAAAUGUAUAAAUCAACAGGUUCGAGUUUGAAACUGUCUUAUUCAGGCCGACAUUUCCACCCGAAGUUUUACCUUUACAAGGCGAUCAUGACAAAGCGCUUUUGAAAAAGAAUUGGAGGAGUGAUUGAGCAUCGUCGAAUUGUGAAGCCAUAAUGCCGGCUUCUCUAACUGUUUUCAGGAAGGAACUUUCUCUCGGAGCAACCCGCUGGCGUAAAUAAAGUUCAGUUGUUAAUACGCUUCCUUGUACAAUUUCCUUGUUCCAACUGACGCCAUGCCCGUUGAACACGUUUGGUCAGAGCUGACGCGCACACGGGAAUCCGGUCUCGCAUUAUGAGUAGGAGUACCAUCAGAAAGUCCGCCACUGAAUGAUACCGGUGUGAUCAGGGACAUUUGCCAUUGCAGUUAAGGCCGAUCGAGAUCGAUCUCAAUCGGAAAUGCCUCUUAUGGCCGGGGUAUGAUAGGACGCCUGCAGUUCUUGUGAAGUACCAAGAUCAACAAACCGAUAAAAAAAAAGAAGACGAAAUCGACCUCACGUUCACUGGUAUCAGCGGCGCAUACAUGGUAUCGCUUAUUAUCCUCUUCAGGUAAAGCACAAUCGUAUGUGUUGCCGCAUUCCACACCUUUCUUUCUUUCUUCCUUUCUUUCUUUCUUUCUUUCUUUCUUUCUUUCUUUCUUUCUUUCCUGCUUAAACCCUCGACAGCUUGCGAGGCUGAUAACCCUGUAUGGGCUCAUCGAACCAUAUUAUUUUUAUUUCGUUGGAGCCUCUCCCGUAUCUGCCGCCAGGAGUGCAAACAAAGCAACCGAAAGGCAAAACCGAGCAAGUCGGUAACGUGGGAGGGUAAAUUGCACAGCGGGCGCGGUUGCUCGGUACUGGCUCCGGCUCAGUCACCUGAACUCCCGCCUUCGGCGUUAAAAGCAGAGACGGCUGUUUUUCCCGCACCGUCGACCGGUCAUGACAGCCACUCCUCCAAGGUCGAACGGACGUAAUGUUGCCGCUCCCUUACCCUUGUUGCGAUAGCGAGUCAAGUAAAACGUGUUGUAGCUCUGGAGAAGCACAGUGGCUCGCCGACGACCGCCGGCAGUCCUUUGUGUUGGUUCUUUCGGUCCGGGUGGCGGUGCCUAGCGUGUGACCGUUGGCGUGAGACGCAAUAGGUUUGAGGCCUAAGUCCAGAUUUAGGAAUUAUUUUUAGAUAUCUUAAUAUGCGAAGCAGUGUAGCAAGGGAAAACUGGCAUUAGGCCCUUUUCUUUAGUUUGUACUACGAUUCGCACUAGGCCCUCAGUUUGUCCGAGAACAGUGGCUUAUCUUCGGCAGGCCGGUACAGUGUGCGCUUCAAAAAUGCCGCGUACGCAACUCGCCAACAUCGCCUUCGUAUUCCUAGUCUUGGCAGCCAUGCACAGAGCGUCUGCUUUGGGUAUCUGCAAGCCCAAUCCACAGUCGCGCGAGUUGGGCGACCGCGCAAGCUGCCCGUUCACGAUGACCGUGGACGUGGACGCCACCCGGAUCCCUGCUGUGAUGCCCGUUACCAAGUGCAACUGCCCGGACAGUCGCUGUAGCGAAGUGGGCGACUACCGCUGUCAAGAGGUGAGAAGCACGUUCCGGCUGGCGUACCGCGUCGACGGCAACUCGUCGGAACUGACCCACAAGACGGUGCAACUGGCAACGUCGUGCGUCUGCAUCGUCGGCAGGUCGGCCGGAGCGUUGUGGGGAGGCAAGCGAACCACAGGCUAACGCUAAGUGCCCUCCUUGGCGGUGGCUCCUGGCGAUUUGGCAUAUCCCGGAGCCGUCCUGCGCCUGCAGGAGUGCCUCGCCUGGUAACCUCAACUCGCCUGGUAACCUCAACUCGCCUGGUAACCAACGCUGGUCACGGACGCUGAUACAGAUGCUGCGUAGCCAGUCGGCCUCAUUCGUAGCAGGGUGUGAGACCGGGGUGGUUGGUAUUGCAUACAGGAGUGACUAGAAGAGUGGACACUGUACACAAAGGCGAAAAAGACGAGCGCUUGUCCUUGUCGCAUUUUGAGUAUCCAGUGUUCACUCUGGCGCUAGUCACUUGCCCAUUCGUGGAGUGGUUAAAAAAAAGUGCUGUGCUCCCUGAUUUGCAGCAGCAGCAGUUGCGGCCGAGAGAACAUCUGAUUAAGCCACAGUCCGUUUGUCUGCAGGUGGUUCCUGACUUUAUUUCAAUUUUGCCUCGUUUUUCUUCGGGUUUCUUAUCUUUUUUACCUUUUUUUUUGCCUUGUCGCGACUGCUGCUGCUUAGCUACUAGCAAUGCUGGUCAAUAUCGGAGUGCAUUGAAGGUUUCCUUGCGACGUGGAAAUGUCCAGAAAGGUCAAGUGUCCCGACACUAUGUUUAACGCUAGUUUCCGCAUCUCCUUUAUUAAUGUUAUAUAGUGGCUUCAGCGAAAGCUGAGAGACCGACGUUUUCCAGGACAGAUCUCUCUGUGCAAAACGGUUUAGUUUUUGUGUAAGUAACACAUCUGAUGCAUCUCAAACGCGACGUUGCCCCCUUUCUUUCAACGAAAUCGUCACAAACCAAAAAUUAGGCACUAACAAAAUGACGGCGAAACGAACGCUAUAUUUAAAGAUCAGCAAUGCCCGAUAGAGAAAAUUAACGGUUUCCAAGGAAAAUAAGAUUGUGCUGCCACUAUCAAGCGCAGUGUAGAAGUAAAUGUCUGCUUUGUUUCUCACUGGGGACUCAUCGACUGUACUCGCCGCACAUUCAGAAUUUCCAUCGAAAAACUCGUGAUGUCACGCUUUCUUUCCUAAUAAGACGAAAACACAAACAAUUUUGUUCGAAAAACACUCAGGGCGGUAAUUCGAAAGUCUCAAACUGGAUAUUCUAGGCAUACGCGCGAGCCAAGGGUCUCCCAAAACCCAAAGGCGCGAUGAAACCUGAAGUCCCCCCACGGGAUGCGUCGCGAUGACGGACCGUAGCGGAGUAGCAAAAAGGCAGCAGCAACCAUCCGGCACCGGUUCUCACUCGUCGCCGGGACAGAGCGAGAGCGCGCGCGUUGGCACCCGAAAUAUGGUGAACCAUGCCAAGGUCAUGCAGAUCCCGCUGCGGAUGAGGCGAUAGCAUGUGAAAUACUCAUUUACAGUCUACUAUAAACUGCCGUAUUAAAACGUCCUUGCCUAAAGAAGAAGAGAAGCGAAAAGGCGGUCCUCUAUUUAUUGAGAAAUAUCAAACUAAAGCUCGAAACACGUGUAGCAUGGUUAUGCCGUAUUGCCACUCAGGCAAACCAGCGCAUCGAAGCAUAACUGUGUCUCUCGUCUUCCGUUCUCCUAUAUGUACCUUCUCGGCAUUCGUGAUUCUCCUUUCACCUGUCGAUCUCAGGUAUUCCUCAUCUAAUAAAGAUUGCGCUGUCUCUCACUUUAUUUGUACGAGCGUUCGACACAAUCAUGACAGUUUCUGCAACUUCACAAAGUCUCUUUUAUGUUCCGCAAAAUCCGGGCCUCAAGGAUAUGUACAUUUCCAUGUUGUAGCUGUGGAGUGUAAAUCUUAUGUAUCGUGUAUUGAUGACAUGCAUGGCGAGUAUGAUUUUACUUCUCAUCAUUCCAUCUGGAUAACCAUCAACUCUGCUCUUUCAAUUUUAUUAGAGAUUUUCCCCCACCUCCCCUGUAAUAUUUAAGUGUGUGCAACUUAAUCAUCGCAUUUUAGAAAGACAAAUUCAUACUUUAUGCAGCUGUGACCAGCUGAACUGAACCUCUUCGAAUUUAAGAGCUAGAGGUAGUGAUAAAAGAAUUUAGCUCACUUCUUAUAAAAGCAGUUUCUCGCAAAAGACUAGUCAGCAUAAAAAGAUGAGAUAUAUUUCAUGUCUCUGUCCACAUGUCGUAACAUCACUGGAUUCAGAUUUCUUGAUUUAGAGUUUCUUUUUCUACAAGACUUAAAGAAAUGCAAUGAUCUGGACAGGAACAAUAAGCUUCUCGUUUAUUCACAGUCGCAUCAGCUGUGGCCUAGAUAUCUUGCGGUAACGCAUAUCACUGUCAUAUAUUCUCUGCUCAAGACAUGCAAGAUCACGCUCUAUAUAUUACUAGAAGUUUUGGUUCGAAAGGUAACAUGAAUACUAUGUCACAAAAAAUAAAAUUUUGUCGGUGAAUAACUGGUUUCCUCUUACCAUAGCUAUCAUGAUCUACACGCUAGCAAUGAACUCUCAUAGAAGCUUUUCGACCUUAAUGUUUAGAAAAACCGCUCGGUAAGGCUGGAAAGAAUAAUUUCCUGCUGCCCUCAUCUCAUGCUAUCUACGGUAAAAUUACAUCUUUCUUUCCCACUGUUAGUGUGCGGAACAGUCUUCCAUAUCAGAUGAAGACGUCUCUUUCUUGAACGGCUAGAUUGAUAAAGCAUGGAGUUGUGUACCAUUGUUAUGUUGUUUACCUCGAUGUCCAUUGUGUUCGUUUAUUUAAUAAUUUCUGUAUUUAUGCAAUUUUUUGAAUAUAUUCUAUAGCUUGAUUUAUUGCACAUACCAUUACAUUGUUUUAUUUGUUCGUAUAAUACAGCGUAUGGACGGUACUGGAGCAUUCUAUGCACGUUGGGAUCUUCUCAUGCAUACAUAUAUAUCUGUAACCUAUCUGAUCUUAAGUAAAUAAAGAUUGCAUUUUAUUUCAUGA